UACCAGCACCCCGAGUGGUCGGGACGAUUAUUGGGCCUAAAGCAUCCGUAGCCGGUUCUGCAAGUCCCCCGUUAAAUCCAGCUGCUCAACAGAUGGGCCGCGGAGGAUACUACAGAGCUAGGAGGCAGGAGAGGCAAGCGGUACUCAGUGGGUAGGGGUAAAAUCCGUUGAUCCAUUGAAGACCACCAGUGGCGAAGGCGGCUUGCCAGAAGGCGCUCGACGGUGAGGGAUGAAAGCUGGGGGAGCAAACCGG
rnacentral:rRNA from 1 species